AGGUCUUAAACGUUUGUAUAAAAUGUGCCAGUUUGACACUAAGAAGCUUACUGGAAAUUGCCUGCUCUGUAAACAACCAUCCUCCACUGUGAAGAGAGCUGUUAAAGUUAAACGGCUGUUAAAGUUAAUUCAAUAUGUGGCAAAGCUGCCGACAUGGACUGAACUUGAUGAUCAUGGUUACUGAUUAAACUUUAAAAAUUAUGUAGCUUUAUUUUAUUAAGA